GGCUCAGGACGAACGCUGGCGGCGUGCUUCAUACAUGCAAGUCGAACGAGAACUUGGUGCUUGCACUAAGGGAAAGUGGCGGACGGGUGAGUAAUAUGUAGGUAAUCUGCCUUUAAGCGGGGGACAACAGUUGGAAACGAUUGCUAAUACCCCAUAUGAGAUUAUUUGAGAUAAUAAUCUUGAAAACUCCGGUGCUUAGAGAUGAGCCUGCAUCUGAUUAGCUAGUUGGGGGUGUAAUGGACCACCAAGGCGACGAUCAGUAGCUGGUUUGAGAGGAUGAUCAGCCACAAUGGGACUGAGACACGGCCCAUACUCCUACGGGAGGCAGCAGUAGGGAAUUUUGCGCAAUGGGGGGAAAAACCCCUGACGCAGCAACGCCGCGUGAAUGAGACGGCCUUCGGGUUGUAAAGUUCUGUCACAGGGGACGAAAUUUGACGGUACCCUGGGAGGAAGCACCGGCUAACUCCGUGCCAGCAGCGGC
rnacentral:rRNA from 1 species